UGACUUAACUGGGAGCACAAUU
rnacentral:miRNA from 1 species